AUUGAACGCUGGCGGUAUGCUUAACACAUGCAAGUCGAACGGUAACAGAAGAAGCUUGCUUCUUGCUGACGAGUGGCGGACGGGUGAGUAAUGCAUAGGAAUCUGCCCAGUGGUGGGGGAUAACCCAGGGAAACUUGGACUAAUACCGCAUAAUACCUACGGGUGAAAGAGGGGGAUCUUCGGACCUCUCGCCAUUGGAUGAGCCUAUGUCUGAUUAGCUAGUUGGUGGGGUAAAGGCCUACCAAGGCGACGAUCAGUAGCUGGUCUGAGAGGAUGAUCAGCCACACUGGGACUGAGACACGGCCCAG
rnacentral:rRNA from 1 species